CCUACGGGAGGCAGCAGUAGGGAAUCUUCCGCAAUGGACGAAAGUCUGACGGAGCAACGCCGCGUGAACGAUGAAGGCCUUCGGGUCGUAAAGUUCUGUUGUUAGGGAAGAACAAGUGUUAGUUGAAUAAGCUGGCACCUUGACGGUACCUAACCAGAAAGCCACGGCUAACUACGUGCCAGCAGCCGCGGUAAUACGUAGGUGGCAAGCGUUGUCCGGAAUUAUUGGGCGUAAAGCGCGCGCAGGCGGUUUCUUAAGUCUGAUGUGAAAGCCCCCGGCUCAACCGGGGAGGGUCGUUGGAAACUGGGAAACUUGAGUGCAGAAGAGGAAAGUGGAAUUCCAAGUGUAGCGGUGAAAUGCGUAGAGAUUUGGAGGAACACCAGUGGCGAAGGCGACUUUCUGGUCUGUAACUGACGCUGAGGCGCGAAAGCGUGGGGAGCAAACAGGAUUAGAUACCCUGGUAGUCCACGCUGUAAACGAUGAGUGCUAAGUGUUAGAGGGUUUCCGCCCUUUAGUGCUGAGUUAACGCAUUAAGCACUCGCGUGGAGUACGUCGCAGACUGAACUACAAGAGUAGUAGACGNGNGAGAGCGACGACGACGACGACGGAGGAGGAG
rnacentral:rRNA from 1 species